AUGGAGACUGUUGCAGACUUUGAUUUGGGUAUUUCCUAUACCCCAGGCAAGGCUAAUGUAAUGGCUGAUGCCUUGAGCCGCAAGUCUUACUGCAACCACCUCCAGGUUCACAAAGUUCAGCCCUCACUUGUUGAAGAAUUCAGAAAGCUAAACCUCCAUAUUGUUCCUCCGGGUGCACUCGCUCCCCCUCCUCCGGAGUUCCGCAAGAUGAAUCUCCGUGUUGUUUCCCAGGGUUCCCUCUAUACCCUGGCUGUUGAACCCAAUCUCGUGGGCACCAUAAAGACAAUGCAGGGAUUUGACUCUGAAGUCUACAAGAUUAAGCAAGACCUCAAAGAAGGAAGUCCCUCAUCCUUCACUAUUGCUGAUGAUGGCGCCUUGUACUUCAAAGGCCGCCUAGUGGUGCCGUGUAAGAAGGAAAACCUGAAUAUGACUCAGGAGGUUAUGAAAGAAGCUCAUGAUACGCCUCUAUGUAUCCACCCUGGUAGUACAAAGAUGUACAAAGACAUCCGCCAGAGAUUCUGGUGGUCUAACAUGAAGCAAGACAUUGCUUGUUAUGUUGCUGAAUGUGACGUUUGCCGUCGUAUCAAAGCAGAACAUCAAAGGCCUGCUGGAACUCUGCAACCUAUAUCUAUUCCUGAAUGGAAAUGGGACCAUGUCGAGAUGGACUUCGUUACUGGAUUUCCCAAAUCGCAAAAGGGUAAUGAUGCUAUUCUUGUCGUCAUUGACCGACUUUCUAAGGUUGCACAUUUUCUGGCGGUCAAAGAAACGAUCACUGCUAGUCAGCUUGCAACUCUCUACAUGUCCAGAAUUGUUUCGCUUCACGGUAUUCCACUGGUUAUCAGUUCAGACCGUGGCAGUUUAUUCACUUCAAGAUUCUGGGCAAGUUUCCAAGAAGCUAUGGGCACUCAUCUGUCUUUCAGCACUGCGUUUCAUCCGCAGUCACAAGGGCAAGUUGAACAUGUCAACCAAGUUCUCGAAGACAUGCUUCGAGCUUGUGUUAUUUCCUUCGGCAAGAAAUGGGAGGAAUCUCUCCCGUAUGCUGAGUUCUCUUAUAAUAAUAGCUAUCAAGCUAGUCUGAAGAUGGCCCCCUUCGAAGUGUUAUAUGGACGAAAGUGUCGAACCCCUCUGAACUGGUCAGAAACUGGGGAACGUCCACUCUUCGGUCCGGAUAUUAUCCAACAUGCCGAAGAGCAAGUCCGCAUUAUUCGCGAGAAUCUCAAGACUGCUCAGUCACGCCAAAAGAGUAAUUAUGACCGUCAUCAUAAAGACAUGGUCUAUCAACCUGGCGAAAAGGCCUAUCUUCGAGUUACACCAAUGAAGGGUGCUCACCGCUUCGGGAUCAAGGGCAAGCUAGCUCCUCGCUAUAUUGGCCCAUUCACUAUUCUCUAG
rnacentral:rRNA from 1 species